rnacentral:rRNA from 1 species
AGUGAACGCUGGCGGUAGGCCUAACACAUGCAAGUCGAACGGCAGCUCAGUAAGAGCUUGCUCUAACGAGUGGCGAGUGGCGGACGGGGGCGGAAUACUACGGAAUCUACUUUUUAGUGGGGGAUAACGGAGGGAAACUUACGCUAAUACCUCAUACGACAUAAGAGUGUAUGCAGCGUGUCUUCGGACUUUACGCGACUGAAUGAGCCGAUGGCGGAUUAGCUAGUUGGCGGGGUAAAGGCCCACCAAGGCGACGAUCCGUAGCGGGCCUGAGAGGAUGAUCGGCCACACUGGAACUGAGACACGGUCCAGACUCCUACGGGAGGCAGCAGUGGGGAAUCUUGGACAAUGGGCGCAAGCCUGAUCCAGCCACACCGCGUGGGUGAAGAAGGUUUUCGGGUUGUAAAGCUCUUUUGUUGGGGAAGAAAAGCAGCAUUUUUAUCUCACGCUGUUCUGACGGUACCCAACGAAUAAGCACCGGCUAACUUCGUG